GACGAACGCUGGCGGCGUGCUUAACACAUGCAAGUCGAACGGUGAACCCGCUUCGGUGGGGGAUCAGUGGCGAACGGGUGAGUAACACGUGGGCAACCUGCCCCCGGCUCUGGGAUAACUCCAAGAAAUUGGGGCUAAUACCGGAUGUGACCGCUGACCGCAUGGUCUGGUGGUGGAAAGGGUUUACGGCUGGGGAUGGGCCCGCGGCCUAUCAGCUUGUUGGUGGGGUAGUGGCCUACCAAGGCGACGACGGGUAGCCGGCCUGAGAGGGUGACCGGUCACACUGGGACUGAGACACGGCCCAAACUCCUACGGGAGGCAGCAGUGGGGAAUAUUGGACAAUGGGCGGAAGCCUGAUCCAGCAACGCCGCGUGAGGGAUGACGGCCUUCGGGUUGUAAACCUCUUUCAGUACCGACGAAGCGCAAGUGACGGUAGGUACAGAAGAAGCACCGGCCAACUACGUGCCAGCCGCCGCGGUAAAAC
rnacentral:rRNA from 1 species